rnacentral:rRNA from 1 species
ACUCUUGGCAAUGGAUAUCUAGGCUCUCGCAUCGAUGAAGAACGUAGCAAAAUGCGAUACUUGGUGUGAAUUGCAGAAUCCCGUGAACCAUCGAAUUUUUGAACGCAAGUUGCGCCCGAAUCCAUUAGGCCGAGGGCACGUCUGCCUGGGCGUUUAA